rnacentral:rRNA from 1 species
CAGGAUUCCCCUAGUAACGGCGAGUGAAGCGGGAUGAGCUCAAGCUUAAAAUCUCUGUCACAAAUUUAUUUUGUGCGGCGAAUUGUAGUCUAUAGAAGCGUGGUCAGUGUAGGGGCUCGGGUUAAGUUCCUUGAAAAAGGACAGCAUCGAGGGUGAUACUCCCGUUUGUACCUGAGUGUCUUAUGCGUACGACCCGUUUUCUUUGAGUCGCGUUGUUUGAGAAUGCAGCGCAAAGUAGGUGGUAAAUUCCAUCUAAAGCUAAAUAUUGGUGCGAGACCGAUAGCGAACAAGUACCGUGAGGGAAAGAUGAAAAGAACUCUGAAAAGAGAGUUAAAGAGUACCUGAAACUGCUGAAAGGGAACCGGAUCGUUUCUAGUGUCUAUAAUCCGUGACAUAUUUCAUUGGCGAGCGUGUGCGUAUGUGUACUAUGGCAGCGGCUAAUUGGCUGCGCUUGGUGUGCGUGCUGUGUGUGCUUACUGGUGCCCUGUGUUAUGGUGGGACGUCAAGGUCAGUUCGUAUGCUGCGGGAAAUGGCUGCUGAGGAGGUAGGGCUUACGCUUGCGUUUGUCUGUUAUAUCUUGGUGGUUUUGUCGUGGUUGGGACUGAGGUGUUCUACAACGUGCUCUUGAGUGGGUCUGCCUCUCCGUGUGCACCGUGUGCAGAUAGCUUGCUAUGUGUGUGUGGUUGUGUGUGGAUUGAAGCGGGCUCGAACUUGUUGCCGUUCGGGACUUUGACGAAAUAGAGCGAUUUGACCCGUCUUGAAACACGGACCAAGGAGUCUAACAUGUGUGCAAGUGUUAGGGUGUGGAAACCCCAGCGCGAAAUGAACGUAAAGGAUAGCGUAAGCUGUCUUAGGUAGGAAACGUUGCGGAUCUCGGUCUGUGGCGUGGCACUAUCGACCGAUCAUGAACCUUCGUGGUGAAAGAUUUGAGUUUGAGCACAUAUGUUGGUACCCGAAAGAUGGUGAACCUAUGCCUGAGUAGGGUGAAGCCAGGGAAACUC